rnacentral:rRNA from 1 species
AAUAGAUACCCUGGUAGUCCACGCCCUAAACGAUGUCAACUAGCUGUUGGGGUCUUCGGACCUUGGUAGCGCAGCUAACGCGUGAAGUUGACCGCCUGGGGAGUACGGUCGCAAGAUUAAAACUCAAAGGAAUUGACGGGGACCCGCACAAGCGGUGGAUGAUGUGGAUUAAUUCGAUGCAACGCGAAAAACCUUACCUACCCUUGACAUGUCUGGAAUCCUGAAGAGAUUUGGGAGUGCUCGCAAGAGAACCGGAACACAGGUGCUGCAUGGCUGUCGUCAGCUCGUGUCGUGAGAUGUUGGGUUAAGUCCCGCAACGAGCGCAACCCUUGUCAUUAGUUGCUACGAAAGGGCACUCUAAUGAGACUGCCGGUGACAAACCGGAGGAAGGUGGGGAUGACGUCAAGUCCUCAUGGCCCUUAUGGGUAGGGCUUCACACGUCAUACAAUGGUCGGGACAGAGGGUCGCCAACCCGCGAGGGGGAGCCAAUCCCAGAAACCCGAUCGUAGUCCGGAUCGCAGUCUGCAACUCGA